rnacentral:tRNA from 1 species
UCACUGGGGGUCCAGUGUCUAGGACUCUUCACUCCCAAUGCAGGGGGCCCAGGUUCAAUCCCUGGUUGGGGAA